UAACAAGGAUUCCCCUAGUAACUGCGAGUGAAGCGGGAAAAGCUCAAAUUUAAAAUCUGGCGGUCUUUGGCCGUCCGAGUUGUAGUCUGGAGAAGUGCUUUCCGCGCUGGACCGUGUACAAGUCUCUUGGAACAGAGCGUCAUAGAGGGUGAGAAUCCCGUCUUUGACACGGACUACCAGUGCUUUGUGAUGCGCUCUCAAAGAGUCGAGUUGUUUGGGAAUGCAGCUCAAAACGGGUGGUGAAUUCCAUCUAAAGCUAAAUAUUGGCGAGAGACCGAUAGCGAACAAGUACCGUGAGGGAAAGAUGAAAAGCACUUUGGAAAGAGAGUUAAACAGUACGUGAAAUUGCUGAAAGGGAAACGCUUGAAGUCAGUCGCGUUGUCCGGAACUCAGCCUUGCAUUUGCUUGGUGCACUUUCCGGAUGACGGGCCAGCAUCGAUUUUGACCGUCGGAAAAGGGCUAGAGUAAUGUGGCACCUUCGGGUGUGUUAUAGACUCUAGUCGCAUACGGCGGUUGGGAUCGAGGACCGCAGCGCGCCGCAAGGCAGGGGUUCGCCCACUUUCGCGCUUAGGAUGCUGGCAUAAUGGCUUUAAACGAC
rnacentral:rRNA from 1 species